rnacentral:rRNA from 1 species
GACGAACGCUGGCGGCGUGCCUAAUACAUGCAAGUCGAACGCAGUGGGGACGGGGGAGUAACACGUGGGUAACCUCCCAUCAGAGGGGAUAACACUUGGAAACAGGUGCUAAACCGAUAUUGGUGGAUGGAGCCGCUGUGCAUUAGCUAGUUGGUGGGGUAACGGCUCACCAAGGCCACGAUGCCUAGCCGUCCUGAGAGGGUUAUCGGCCACACUGGGACUGAGACACGGCCCAUACUCCUACGGGAGGCAGCAGUGGGGAAUCUUCGGCAAUGGACGAAAGUCUGAGCGAGCAACGCCGCGUGUGUGAAGAAGGUUUUCGGAUCGUAAAUCUCUGUUGGUAGAGAAGCGGUAUCUAACCAGAAAGCAACGGCUAACUACGUGCCAGCAGCCGCGGUAAUUC